ACUGCCGCCAUGACCAGCAGCAUGUGAAGACGCCGGUGAGCCACCAGCCACAUGGCAAGAUAGAGACACAGAUCUGCAGAAAACAUCACCCAGGACAUGCAGAGAAAGCCAGCGUAUCUGCUUCCACUUUCCAGACUGGUGUCUCCUUGACCAGAUUAGAUUAUAAAACGUAACUGAACCAGGGCUGAGGACAAAGCCCAGACACACUAAAAGAAGUAUACCUGUCAGCUAAUGUCAAAUUAGAAACUGCAAGCCCUGCUGGACUCUGCCGGCCUCUAUCAGCCAGUCAAAUUUCUAUCCUUCUCCACAAGGACACCAAGCGCUCAUCAGAGUAACACCAGCAGGUGAUGCAGCUUGGACAGAUGAUCUCAAUAAGCCUCCAUAAUGCUGUCUGGACUUGUAGCCUCCAAAAGAUAUUUUGUCUACAUCUAUGUCUAUGCACUACAUGGGUAUCUGCUUUUCAUGGAGUCCAGGAGAGGAUAUCUCUACCCUAGGACUGGAGUUACACACAAUUAGAAGAAAUGGAAGGUAAGCGCAACUACAAAACCAAACACGCCUUCUGAGGAAACCUAGUAUGUGACAGAUGACCAUCUUUAGAUGGAAGCUGCUAUGAAGAACACAAACGCUACUCUCCGUUUUGCUGGUCACCAGGAGGUGUGGACUGAGCAGCUCAGACCUCCCCUCUCAGCCGCGUCUCCCCUACAUGCUAUAGAAGAGUUUUCUAAAAAGAAAGGUGCGGACAGCAGGGAAAACACUCGCAACCGGUCCAAGUGCAGAGAACAAGAGUCUGUAGAAUGCUCAACUAUAAAUGGGACUUCUGUAUCACACCUCUUUCCCCGCAAGGUUCAAGGAUCAUAGAAGAGGGGGCAGAAGGAUUUUCCGGGACCCCAUUCGAGGAGGACCAAUGUAGAACAGCAUAUCCGGGACAUGAAAUGACGGUGUGUUCACGAACUCCCAGCAGCUGUGACUGUCUGUACACACAAGAGUAAACCAGUCCGCAUUUCAACAUGGAUAGGGGUGGGCUAUUUAAAUUAAGAGUUUCUAGUGGGGAAAUAACAGUUUUCUUCAGGGUGUGGUCCCCGGUAUGUUGCAUGCUUCAGUGGAUACCCAUGUGUAUAUGGGCCGUACUAAUUAGACACAUUGCAUUCUUUUUUUUUUAAUUUUAAAAAUAAAAAAGAUUGCCAAGCAGUAUUGGCGCACGCCUUUAAUCCUAGCACUUGGGAGA